UACAGAGGUCCCGAGCGUUGUUCGGAUUUAUUGGGCGUAAAGGGUGCGUAGGCGGCGGAGUAAGUUGGGUGUGAAAUCCCGGGGCUUAACUCGGAACGGUCAAGUGAUACUGUCGGACUAGAGUACAGAAGGGGCAACUGGAAUUCUCGGUGUGGCGGUGAAAUGCGUAGAUAUCGAGAGGAACACCUGCGGCGAAGGCGGGUUGCUGGGCUGAUACUGACGCUGAGGCGCGAAAGCCAGGGGAGCGAACAGG
rnacentral:rRNA from 1 species